GACGAACGCUGGUGGCGUGCUUAACACAUGCAAGUCGAACGGAAAGGCCCUGCUUUUGUGGGGUGCUCGAGUGGCGAACGGGUGAGUAACACGUGAGUAACCUGCCCUUGACUUUGGGAUAACUUCAGGAAACUGGGGCUAAUACCGGAUAGGAGCUCCUGCUGCAUGGUGGGGGUUGGAAAGUUUCGGCGGUUGGGGAUGGACUCGCGGCUUAUCAGCUUGUUGGUGGGGUAGUGGCUUACCAAGGCUUUGACGGGUAGCCGGCCUGAGAGGGUGACCGGCCACAUUGGGACUGAGAUACGGCCCAGACUCCUACGGGAGGCAGAAGUGGGGAAUAUUGCACAAUGGGCGGAAGCCUGAUGCAGCAACGCCGCGUGCGGGAUGACGGCCUUCGGGUUGUAAACCGCUUUCGCCUGUGACGAAGCGUGAGUGACGGUAAUGGGGAAAGAAGCACCGGCUAACUACGU
rnacentral:rRNA from 1 species